rnacentral:rRNA from 1 species
UACAGAGGGGGCAAGCGUUGUUCGGAAUUACUGGGCGUAAAGGGCGCGUAGGCGGCCAACUAAGUCGGACGUGAAAUCCCCGGGCUUAACCUGGGAACUGCAUUUGUGACUGGCGAGCUAGAGUAUGGCAGAGGGGGGUAGAAUUCCACGUGUAGCAGUGAAAUGCGUAGAGAUGUGGAGGAAUACCGAUGGCGAAGGCAGCCCCCUGGGCCAAUACCUGACGCUCAUGCACGAAAGCGUGGGGAGCAAACAGGAUUAGAGU